UCCCGGCUGGCUCAGUUGGUUGAGUGUCUGACUUUAGCUCAGGUCACGAUCUCAUGGUUCGUGGGUUCGAGCCCCGCAUCGGGCU
rnacentral:tRNA from 1 species